AUUGAACGCUGGCGGCAUGCCUUACACAUGCAAGUCGAACGGCAGCGCGGACUUCGGUCUGGCGGCGAGUGGCGAACGGGUGAGUAAUACAUCGGAACGUACCCUGUUGUGGGGGAUAACUAGUCGAAAGAUUAGCUAAUACCGCAUACGACCUGAGGGUGAAAGUGGGGGACCGCAAGGCCUCACGCAGCAGGAGCGGCCGAUGUCUGAUUAGCUAGUUGGUGGGGUAAAGGCCCACCAAGGCGACGAUCAGUAGCUGGUCUGAGAGGACGUUCAGCCACACGGGGGCGGAGACGCGGCCCAGACUCCUACGGGAGGCAGCAGUGGGGGAUUUUGGACAAUGGGGGCAACCCUGAUCCAGCAAUGCCGCGUGUGUGAAGAAGGCCUUCGGGUUGUAAAGCACUUUUGUCCGGAAAGAAAUCGCGCUGGUUAAUACCUGGCGUGGAUGACGGUACCGGAAGAGUAAGCACCGGCUAACUACGUGCAGCCGCCGCAGUAA
rnacentral:rRNA from 1 species